UCAUGCUUAUUUUGAGCCUUGUCUUUUAAAACUUUUUGGUUCCUUGACGGUGAUAGCCUUUUUGGUUCCUACUAUUAUCGUACAGAAAUACGGGGAGAUUGUGCAUUUUGGUGCCGGGUACAUCACAGAUUCCUGUUAUAAAUUCCUCUGUA